rnacentral:rRNA from 1 species
UACGUAGGGUGCAAGCGUUAAUCGGAAUUACUGGGCGUAAAGCGUGCGCAGGCGGUCCGUUAAGACCGAUGUGAAAUCCCCGGGCUUAACCUGGGAACUGCAUUGGUGACUGGCAGGCUAGAGUAUGGCAGAGGGGGGUAGAAUUCCACGUGUAGCAGUGAAAUGCGUAGAGAUGUGGAGGAAUACCGAUGGCGAAGGCAGCCCCCUGGGCCAAUACUGACGCUCAUGCACGAAAGCGUGGGGAGCAAACAGG